rnacentral:rRNA from 1 species
GAGGAAUAUUGGUCAAUGGGAGAGAUCCUGAACCAGCCAAGCCGCGUGAGGGAAGACGGCCCUAUGGGUUGUAAACCUCUUUUGUCGGAGAACAAAACCCGGGACGUGUCCCGGACUGCGUGUAUCCGAAGAAAAAGCAUCGGCUAACUCC